UGCAGCCGGGGAGAUAGCGGUGCCCUGUACCUGCAAUCCGCUCUAGCAGGGGUGAUAUUCCGGCUGAGGGUUUUGGCUUGUGGAGCUGCCCGCAGUAAGUGGUGUUGACGCCCGGGUCUCGCGCAACGGAAACCGGUGAACCGUGUCAGGUCAGGAAUGAAGCAGCACUAAGCCGGAGCUUUCGUGUGCCGUGAGGGUGCCUGGGCCGAGCUGGCUGCUGCGGUAACGUCCGGGGGUCAGGUUCGAAGCC
rnacentral:SRP_RNA from 1 species